rnacentral:rRNA from 1 species
UACGAAGGGGGCUAGCGUUGCUCGGAAUUACUGGGCGUAAAGCGCACGUAGGCGGCUUUCUAAGUCGGGGGUGAAAUCCUGGAGCUCAACUCCAGAACUGCCUUCGAUACUGGAGAGCUUGAGUCCGGGAGAGGUGAGUGGAACUGCGAGUGUAGAGGUGAAAUUCGUAGAUAUUCGCAAGAACACCAGUGGCGAAGGCGGCUUACUGGUCCAUUACUGACGCUGAGGUGCGAAAGCGUGGGGGAGCAAACAGG